rnacentral:sRNA from 1 species
UGAUUCGAAUUUACGUUCUUGGUCACUG